CAGCUAAUUUCAACAUUGAUUUAUCAGAUGUGAACAUCUAGGCUUGCUGUGGAGAGAUUUUAAAUUUCUUUUUAAAAACACAUUUUAAAAACUUAAAUAUGAAGGCAUGAGUCCCAUUUUUAAUAUGCAUGCUUAUCUGUUAUUUUCCUACUUUAUAUAUAUGUUUUUUAUUAUUUGACUUGAGACUUAAAUAUUGGAAAGGGUUUUUUUGGGGGGAGGGGGUUUGGUAAAAACUGCUUUUUGAGUUAUCUCCUGGCCCCAGACCUAUCUCUGAAACGAAUGAGUAGAGUCAUUUUGUGUCAGCCCCGUUUUUUGAAUUUGGCCAAUUCUAGUAUGUUUCGAAAGAAAAGUCCAAAGAGUUAAGAAGGCUUCACUUCAUUAGGCAGAAAUGUUUGAUAUAGAAAGAGGAGGAAAAUAAGUUUCAAACAUUUACCCUUUGAUCUAAACUCAUGGAAAUAAGACAUCAAAGACCAUCCCAGGUACUAGGAUUUGUGAACACCCCAUGUUUAGAUCUUUUUACACUUCAAGGAACAAGGCACCCUUUUUGCUAUGAAGUGGAUACACAAGUUCUUUCGUUAUUGUUGUUCAGUGAAAAUUAUCAAAGGUUGGAGGAAGGACGAUGACUUGUCUCCGGAACCCAAAAUCUGGUGUUUAAGGAGACUGUUUCAUGGUUACUUCAUACUAAUGCCAGCCUUGGUUCCAUACCUGGAAGAUGUGACUGGUGUUUUGUGAGAAAAGAGGAUUUAAGAUGGCCUCUGAAGUGGUCUACUGGCUUUGGCUGAAGACCAUGGGGAACAAGAUCAGAGUAGACAAAUAGUACUCCCAGCAAUGUGAACCUUCAGAAAGCAUAUUCUGAAUGCUCAAAGGCAAGGGGGAAAAAACCUUAAAAUAUGUCGCACCCACUGCAACUUUACCUUGCUUGCUUCUUUGGAUAUUUUCAUAUCCAUAGUCCCACGCAGUGGCCUCAUCCAUUAGAAGAGUUUGUUGUUUCUAGUACCUUGUCCUUUCUUGGGGCCAUAAAUCUCUGACUUAAGAGUGGAAAUUUAUAUUUUCAUCUCUCUCACACAUACAAAAUAAGCCAUUUAAAGCUGGCCUCCUGCUUCCUGCGUUAAGUACAAGCAGGCACUGAGCAUGAGCUUCAUUCGCUUGAAGCUCUGCCAGUGUGCCACUGUCUUCUAAAUCCUCUUGAAAAAGAUAAUUACAAAUGAUCUCCGUCUCUGGAUGCCAGAUUGUAGAGUGGACAUUUCCAGCAUGAAUCAAUCCAGGACGCUAUCCAAGUUCACAGGCAUUGAUGCACAACAUUUUAACUGUAGCCGAAUUGGCUUGUGCGGAUCCGUUUGUUGUAUUUGCAAGAAUUUUUUUUUUUUAGGGUAGUGAAUUUGUGUUCAGACCGCUUCUGCUAUGUUUUUGAAAUGUUGUGUCUGCUGUUGUCCUCAAGAACCAGAAGGAAUUUUGUAAAUCCAGUAAGAGAAGAUAGGCCUUCUGUAGUUGUUGUUUUUCAAGUCAAGCCAUGGGUAGGGAAACUAGGGCCCAGUAUAGGUUGGGAAGGAAUGAGAAGGUACCAGCACAACAUUGAUGCUGGAAUUCUACAAAAUAUAUUGUGGUACAUAAUCAUGUUGUCAAUAAUCGUUGAGGAUUGGUUUAUCAGCGCCUAGACUGAGCAGUUCUUCAUAAUCUUAGGACUGCAGUUCUGGAAGGGACCCAAUGGAUCAUCAAGGCCAGCCCAUGUGAAGGAGGCAAGUGUGUGUGGGGGGAAUCAAACUCCCAACCUCUGGCUCCACAGUCAGAUCCCUAAACCACUGAGCUAGACAUGUACAUGUUUUGGGUCACAUGCACUGCUUAAGACCAAGGUACAUGAAGGUUAUUUAGUUUGGCAUUAUCAGAAGCAAUGUGGUUCACAGGCCAAUAAAUACAUUGUCAAGGAUCGUUAAUGUUUGGUGACCAUUGUAUACCGUUGCUUCAGAUGCAUGUAUGUGCCAAGGUUUUAAUCUUAAUAUGCGCUGUCUGAAACACUCUUGGCCACAGUUAAAGCCUCAGCGCCACCUUCUGACUGAUUAGGAUACUUGCUUGCUUAGACUAUCAAACAGACACUGACAUCAUAUUUGUUUUAAAGGGAGUCCUAUUUAAGAGGCAGCUAUGUGCAUAAAUAAACCCAAAUUAUUAUGUGGAAGCCAUUUAAUCUCGGUUGCCUCAUGCUUGCAAUCUUCUGUUAUGCUUGGAAGGAGGUCCCGCAUGCCCCUAGAGAGCCUGUCUUCAAAGGGCGUUAUUUGCUUUGAUAGAGAAGGGCCCAACACAGUAGAGAUCUUCCUUCGGUUGACGUGAGUAGGGAAAUCCACAUGUAAGCUCUUGAGUUUCUUCAGUGGGUCCAAAACCAUAAAUCAAAGGCUUAAGUGGGUUGUAGAUGAAAUCGGGCGUUUGUUUUUGAUGUGACAAACAAGCAUAUCUAUUGUGAGCAGUUGCUAUAGCUGUCCAUCUCAGUUCCAUCUUCAUGGAUUGCCAUUCGUUGAAAUCAAACUGUUUUUAUCUUUUGCCAUGUCUUUGCAUCAAAAGGAGAGGUAAAAAAAAUAGAGCUACAUUUACGUUAGUGUCUAUAUUUGUCUCACUGGAGUCUGGCAGUGUAGUCUUGAAACAUAUAUGAAGGGUUCUGUUUUGUGUAACCCCGCUUCCCAUAAUUAAUUAAAAAUAAAACUGUGAACAUCCAUAGGAAUAUGUUGUUUGUAUACAUUGGUUUUGUGGGGUUUUGUGGCUUUUCUUUAAAGGUUUUCUGGUUGCCUUAAAACUUAUUAAGUGUAGCUUGUUUUAAUAACUUCCUAUUUUGAAAAUAUCGUUGUUUUUACUGGAAUGACUUUGUAACCAAUUUACAGUGUUAAAAAUUGCAUUAUAUAUGUCAUGUAUCCGUCCACUAGACAUUUGUUAACAUUUUGCAAUGUCGAAAAGAGUUUAGUUUUUCAAAGUACAACCGAUAAUGGGGAAUCUUAUAAGCAUUUGAUGGACAUUUUUCCUCUUUUUUGCAUAUGUUCUUGAAUGUUCAUUUCCCAAAACUCUGAACACAUGAAGUGGGAAGGAGAAAAUACAUUUUUAUAUAUAUAUAAAAAAAACCUCAAACUUU